GACGAACGCUGGCGGCGUGCCUAAUACAUGCAAGUAGAACGCUUAAGGAGGAUCUUUCUUCUCUGUAUGAGUUGCGAACGUGUGAGUAACGCGUAUGUAACCUGCCUUGUAGCGUGGUAUAACUAUUGGAAACGAUAGCUAAUACCGCAUAAUAGUAGAUGUUGCAUUACAUUUUCUUAAAAGUUGCAAUUUCAUCACUACCAGAUGGACCUUCGUUGUAUUAGCUAGUUGGUGUGGUAACGGCUCACCAAGGCGACGAUACAUAGCCGACCUGAGAGGGUGAGCGGCCAAACUGGGAGUGAGACAAGGCACAGAAUCCUAAGGGAGGCAGCAGUAGGGAAUCAUCGGAAAUGGACGGAAGUCUGACCGAGAAACGCCGCGUGAGUGAAGAAGGUUUUCGGAUCGUAAAGAUCUGUUGUAAGAGAAGAAAGAGUGUGAGAGUGGAAAGUUCACAAUGUGACGGUAACUUACAAGAAAGGGACGGCUAACUACGUG
rnacentral:rRNA from 1 species